UUGGACCUGAUAUCAGGCAAGACUACC
rnacentral:rRNA from 1 species